GACGAACGCUGGCGGCGUGCCUAAUACAUGCCAGUCGAACGCUGAAGGAGGAGCUUGCUUCUCUGGAUGAGUUGCGAACGGGUGAGUAACGCGUAGGUAACCUGCCUGGUAGCGGGGGAUAACUAUUGGAAACGAUAGCUAAUACCGCAUAAGAGUAGAUGUCGCAUGACAUUUGCUUAAAAGGUGCAAUUGCAUCACUACCAGAUGGACCUGCGUUGUAUUAGCUAGUUGGUGAGGUAACGGCUCACCAAGGCAACGAUACAUAGCCGACCUGAGAGGGUGAUCGGCCACACUGGGACUGAGACACGGCCCAGACUCCUACGGGAGGCAGCAGUAGGGAAUCUUCGGCAAUGGACGGAAGUCUGACCGAGCAACGCCGCGUGAGUGAAGAAGGUUUUCGGAUCGUAAAGCUCUGUUGUAAGAGAAGAACGAGUGUGAGAGUGGAAAGUUCACACUGUGACGGUAUCUUACCAGAAAGGGACGGCUAACUACGUG
rnacentral:rRNA from 1 species